CUGAUAUUCCCGUACCGGCAGCGAACCGAAACAACCGAGGCCUGGGGCGCUAACCUCCGGGUCCGUGCCGUCUCCCCUUUCGGGGGGUCGCGGCGCGGGCGCGUUGGGAUCCCCCCUCGUAGUAGGUCAGCGCAGGAGUGACGCAUCAGGGCAGCCGGCCGCGGAGGUGGUUUUCCGUGGUCAAGCGUUCGAGCCCGUCCCGCAGGCAAAUCCGCGGGGCGUCGGGGCGAGGCGUGAUGAUGGGGGCCUUACGGCCCGAAUCCGGUGAUCCGUGGUGCCGAGAAAAGCUUCGGCGUCAGGCGCGUUGCCGCCCGUACCCCAAACCGACACUGGUGGUCAGGUAGAGAAUACCAAAGCGAUCGAGCGAAUCCUGGUCAAGGAACUCGGCAAAUUGCUCCCGUGCCUUCGGCAUAAGGGAGACCCCCUGCGGUGAUGAGCGGCGGGGGGUGGCACAGGCCAGGGGGUAGCGACUGUUUACCAAAAACACAGGUGCAUGCGAAGGCGCAAGCCGCUGUAUAUGCACUGACGCCUGCCCGGUGCCGGAAGGUUAAGAGGAUCCGUCAGUCCUUCGGGAUGAAGCGGUGAAUUCAAGCCCCGGUAAACGGCGGUGGUAACUAUAACCAUCCUAAGGUAGCGAAAUUCCUUGUCGGGUAAGUUCCGACCUGCACGAAUGGCGUAACGACUUCCCCACUGUCUCGACCAGGAGCUCGGCGAAAUUGCAGUACGAGUAAAGAUGCUCGUUAAGCGCAGAAGGACGAAAAGACCCCGGGACCUUUACUAUACCUUGGUAUUGGCGUUAGGCGCGGAUUGUGUAGCAUAGGCGGGAGGCUUCGAAGCGUGGGCGCCAGCUCAUGUGGAGCCGCAAGGUGAAAUACCGCUCUGUUCUCGUUUGAUGUCUAACCUCGAACAGUCAUCCUGUUCAGGGACAGUGCCUGGCGGGUAGUUCAACUGGGGCGGUUGCCUCCCAAAGAGUAACGGAGGCGCCCAAAGGUCCGCUCAGCCCGGUUGGCAAUCGGGUGGCGAGUGCAAGUGCACAAGCGGGCUUGACUGCGAGGACGACGGUCCGAGCAGGGACGAAAGUCGGGACUAGUGAUCCGGUGCCGGUGUACGGACGCGGCAUCGCUCAACGGAUAAAAGGUACCCCGGGGAUAACAGGCUGAUCAUUCCCAAGAGUCCAUAUCGACGGGAUGGUUUGGCACCUCGAUGUCGGCUCGUCACAUCCUGGG
rnacentral:rRNA from 1 species